GUGGAGGAGGAGGGUCCCAUCGGUCCAGUAUGCUUCGGCCCCUGGAUCCGCAGGGAGCCGUUUCCUUCUUGCUUCACCCUUCCCGGUGAUACUCCAAAAUAAAACGGAUCCACCAAGCCGGAGGAAUGGCUGAUCGACUACACCACCGCAGUCGGCAUCGCCACGGGCAACAAGCACAUAGCCGUCCGCUACGUGCCACUUAUGCUGACCGGCUCGGCUCAAACCUGGCUUAACAGCCUGCCAGCCGACAGCGUCAACACCUGGGUUGACUUUGAAGAGGUCUUCGUCCGCAACUUCACCGGCACCUACAAACGCCUCGACCGCACCCGUGAGCUGGCCAUGUGCGUUCAGAAGCCCGACGAACCCCUCUGCGAUUACGCCACGUGCUGGACGGAGUUGCGCAACUCCUGCAAAGAGUGCAUGAGGUAGAGGACAUUCAGUACUUCAUGAAAGGCUGCCGAGACGACACCCUUCUCAAGCACAAGCUCAUGUGCUCCGAGCCUACCUCUUUGGUGGCACUCAUGGCCAAGGCGGACAAGUAUGCAACCGCCCACUCUGCGAUGCGAAUCAAGGUCAGCGCGAUGGACAAGCCCGUUCCGCCGCCUGCUACAACUCGGCCGACUAACCACAACCGAGGUGGGAAGAACAACAGGCGCAAGGCGGAUCAGCUGGACCCACGGCCUGGGAGCAAGAAGGUGGCGAAUGUUGAGGAAGAGCAGCCGGCUGCGCAAGCCAUCGGUCAGUGACGACGAACCGGCAAGAACACCUGGCAGCCCAAGCUAACCUUCGAGCAGAUGGUCGACGCACCCUGCAAAAUGCACACCAGGGCAAAGCCGGCCACCCACACGCUCCUGCAGUGCAGCUUCUCACAACGCCUAGCUCGGGGCGAGUGUCUGCUGGCUCCCCCGGGGCCGGCUCCUCGAGCUCCGACUCCUGGGCCGGUUCCGGCUCCAGCUGCACCGCCACCCAAUGACGGCUGAUACGUCUCCAACGUAUCUACUUUUCCAAACUCUUUUGCCCUUGUUUUGGACUAUAAUUUGCAUGAUUUGAAUGGAACUAACCUGGACUGACGCUGUUUUCAGCAGAAUUACCUUGGUGUUAUUUUUGUGCAGAAAUCAAAGUUCUCCAAACGUCCUGAAAAUUUACGGGGAGCAAUUUUGGAAAAUAUCAAAAAUAUAUGCGCCAAAUUCCACCUCAGGGGUGGUCCAGUGGGCCACAAGCCCCUGCUCCGCCACCAACCCCUGGUGGCGGUGGGCAGGCUUGUGGGGCCCACAGGCACCUGCCGCCCCCAACUCCAGCUCUAUAAGUUGUCUUUCGUCCCAGAAAAAAUAAAAAGAGAAGUUUUCGUCGCGUUUUUGAUACGGAGGUGCCGCCACCUCCUGUUCUUCAUCUGAAGGGCAGAUCUGGAGUCCGUCUUGGGCUCCGGAGAGGGGAAAUCGUCGCCAUCGUCAUCAUCAACCUUCUUCCCUCUCCAAUUCCAUGAAGCUCUUCGUCGUUCGUGAGUAAUCUAUUCGUAGGCUCGCUGGGCGGUGAUGAGUAGGAUGAGAUCUAUCAUGUAAUCGAGUUAGUUUUGAUGGGGAUUGAUCCCUAGUAUCCACUAUGUUCUGAGAUUUGAUGUUGCUACUACUUUUCCAUGCUUAAUGCUUGUCACUAGGGCCCGAGUGCCAUGAUUUCAGAUCUGAAAUUAUUAUGUUGCCACCAAUAUAUGUGUGUUUUAGAUACGAUCUUGUAAGUUCUAGUUACCUACUAUGUGUUAUGAUCCGGCAACCCCGGAGUGACAAUAACCGGAACCACUCCCGGUGAUGAUCAUAGUUUGAGGAGUUCAUGUGUUCACCAAGUGCAAAUGCGUUGGUCCGGUUCUUUAUUAAAAGGAGAACCUUAAUAUCCCGUAGUUUCAUUUUGGACCCCGCUGCCACGGGAGGGAUGGACAAUAGAUGUCAUGCAAGUCCUUUUCCCUAAGCACGUAUGACGACACACGGAAUGCAUGCCUACAUCACAUUGACGAACGGGAGCUAGCCACAUAUCUCUCCGUGUUAUAGCUGUUGCAUGAUGAAUAUCAUCCAAACAAAUCACCGACCCAUUGCCUAUGAGUUUGUCCUACUGCUGCUGUUACUUGUCUUGCUCUGCUGCUCCUACUACUGUUGCUACUGCUGUUAUUCGUCUUGCUCUGCUGCUGCUACUACUGUUGCUACUACCGUCGCUUGCUACUGUUGCUACUUGCUACUGCUGUCACUACUGCUGUUCCUUGCCACAGCUAUUGCUCGUUACACUGCCGUUACUCACUACUUUGCUGUUACUACUGUGCUUGCAGAUACAAAUCUUUCAGGUGUGGUUGAAUCUGACACAUUCAGCUGCUAAUACUUGAGAGUAUUCUCUUACCUCCCGUCGUGCGAAUCAACAAAAUUGGGUCGCAUACUCUACCCUCGAAAACUGUUGCGAACCCACGCGCUGGUGGGCCAUCAACAACAUUCUUCCAGUUUCAUUACCAGGGAGUGCUAUCAGCAUUCUUCUGGCGCCGUUACAGGAGAAGGUUCGUUGUCAUAAGCAUUCGUGUAGCUAACAGUAGAGAUUGCAGGAUCAACACUUUUCUGGCACUAUUGCUGGGGAAGCACAGCUGACGUCGGCAUUUUUCUGGCGCCGUUGCCAGGGAGGUAUUGCUAUAUUCUCUGAGUCACUUGGGAUUUAUAUCUGCUGAUCACUAUGAAAAAUCUGAAGGAUCCGAAGACCAAAGUCUUGCCCUCAACUACGAGGGGAGGUAAGGAAUUGCCAUCUAGCUCUGCACUUGAUUCACCUUAAGUUAUGAGUAAGUUUGCGACUUCACCUCCUGCUAGAGAUGCUAUGCCUGAUACUGCUAGAGAUGCGAUGCUUGAUACUAUGCCUGAUACUGCUAGAGAUGCCAUGCUUGAUACUAUGCCUGAUGAUGCUAUGCUUGAGACUAUGCUUGAUACUGCUAGAGAUGCUAUGCUUGAUACUGCUUUGCCUAAUGAUGCUAGAGAUGCUAUUUUGCCUGAUGAUGCUAUGCUUGAUACUUCUAGAGAUACUCCUUUGCCUGAUGUUCCACUAGGAGUGUUCUUUGAUGCUCAUAUUGCUAGAGUUACUGCUAAUGCUCGUGAUGCUUCUGAAAUUGCCGAUGCUAUUGAGAUAGAACCUGCUUUUGCUCCUGCUAGAUCUAGCUCUCCUAGAUAUGAAUUGCCUAAUAUACCUGAGGGUUACGUUAUGGAGGGAGAGAUAGCUGAGGAUUUUCUUGCGUGUAAGGAUGCCUAUGACGCUGAGAAAUUAAUUCUCAAGUGGAAGGAAAAAUCUCGGGAAGUUAGGAUGAAAAAUGAUCUGAAGUUUGCCACUUCGCCUAUCUUUGUCACCGAUAAGGAUUAUGAAUUCUCUGUCGACCCUGAGAUAAUAUCUCUAGUCGAAUCUGAUCCUUUUCACGGUUAUGAGUCUGAGACGGUCAUAGCCCAUCUUGCCAAACUAUCCGAAAUAGCCAACCUUUUUCACUAAUGAGGAGAAGAUCCGCCACUACUAUAUCCUUAAGAUGUUUCCUUUCUCUCUAAAGGAUGACGCUAAAGCCUGGUUCACCUCUCUUGCUCCUGGAUGUGUGCGUAGUCCCCAGGAGAUGGUCCAUUACUUCUGUGAGAAAUAUUUCCCUGCCCAUAAGAAGCAAGCUGCCUUGCAGGAAAUAUACAACUUUUCUCAACUCCAAGAAGAGAGUCUUCCACAAGCUUGGGGGAGGCUCGUCCAGCUACAGAAUGCUUUGCCUGAUCACCCUCUUAAGAAGAACGAGAUACUUGAUAUCCUCUAUAACGUACUUACCGAUGCCUCUAGAGACCACCUAGAUAGUUGUGUCGGUUGUGUUUUUAGGGAACGAACUGUAGAACAAGCUGAGACCCUACUGAAUAACAUCUUGAUCAACGAUAAUGCUUGGACUAUUCCCGAACCACCUCCUAAGCCAACUCCGAAGAAAAGAGGUAUUCUAUUCCUCAGUCCCGAAGAUAUGCAAGAAGCCAAGAAAUCUAUGCAAGAGAAAGGCAUUAGAUCUGAAUAUGUCAAAAAUCUACCACCUAUCGAAGAGAUCCAUGGUCUCGAUAACCCGAUACAGGUAGUGGAAGUGAAUUCUCUGCAUAGGUUUGAUGAGAGUGAUAUUCCUUUUGAUAAACCUGCUAGCCUAUGCUUUGAUGAAUUUGACAACCUUGUUGCCAAACAACAGAGUUUCAAUGAUUAUGUUAGCAGACAUUUGGAACAAAGUACUCGUAUGCUUAGCCAUUUAAGUGCUUGUGUAGACAGAAAUGUCAAUGAUCUGAAGCUUCUGAGUAAACAUGCUUCUAUGAUUACUACUCAGGUAGAACAAGUACUUAAAUCUCAGAAUGACCUGCUCAAUGAACUAAAUGACAACUCUGUCAGAGUCAUUACUAGAGGAGGCAAAAUGACUCAGGAACCUUUGUAUCCUGAAGGUCAUCCUAAGAGAAUUGAUCAAGAUUCUCAAGGAAUCAAUGCUGAUACACCUAGUCAUCCUAAGGAGAAGAAGAAGGAUGAUAGAAACUUGCAUGCUAGUUCGCCAAAUACUGUCACACCUAAAGAACCUAAUGAUAUUUCCGCGUCUGAUGCAGAAACACAAUCUGGUGAUGAACAUGAACCUGGUGACAAUAUGGACAGUGAUGUUCGUAAUAAUUCUCAACCUAGUAAUGAUGAGGAUGUGGAGAUUGAACCUACGGUUAAUCCUGAUAAUCCACAACCUAAGAGAUGUGACAAGAAUGACUUCACUGCUAAGAAGCAUGGUAAAGAAAGAGAGCCAUGGGUUCAGAGACCUAUGCCCUUCCCUCCUAAGCCAUCCAAGAAAAAGGAUGAUGAGGAUUUUGAGCGCUUCGUUGAGAUGAUAAGACCCGUCUUUCUGCAGAUGAAGUUAACUGAUAUGCUCAAGAUGUCUCCAUAUGCCAAGUACAUGAAAGAUAUCGUGACUAAUAAACGGAAGAUACCAGAUCUUGAGAUCUCCACCAUGCUUGCCAACUACACUUUCAAAGGUGGAACUCCUAAGAAACUUGGUGAUCCCGGAGUGCCCACUAUACCUUGCUCCGUUAAAGGAAGCUACGUAAGAACUGCCUUAUGUGACCUUGGAGUCGGUGUUAGUGUUAUGUCGCUCUCUCUUUAUCAUAGACUUGAGUUGGAUAAGUUGACACCCACUGAAAUUUCUCUGCAAAUGGCCAACAAAUCAACUGCUUUCCCUAUCGGCAUUUGCGAGGAUGUGCCUGUUGUGGUUGCUAAUACCACUAUCUUAACAGACUUUGUUAUCUUGGAUAUUCCCGAGGACGAUGCCAUGGCUAUCAUCCUCGGAAGACACUUUUUAAACACCGCAGGGGCUGUUAUAGAUGGCAACAAAGGCAAUGUCACUUUCCAUGUCAAUGGUAAUGAGCACACCGUGCACUUCCCGAAGAAACGAUAUCCAAUACAUUGCAUCAAUGCUAUCGAAAAGACUUCAUCGAUUCUCAUUGGGAGCUUUGAAUGCCCUAUUCCUCGUGUCAAGAUGAAGUAUGAUUUGCUUGUCGGGGAGAUUCAUAUCCCCAUUGAGGUGACUUAGUGGCUAUUCGAAAAUUCUCCGUUCUCUCUUGCAAUUCAAGAAGGUUUUGUCAUAAGGACUUGAUCAAUCCCAUUGACGGAUUUCUUUCAAUGACCAUGAGACGGAUGAAUCAAAGAGUCACGUACCUCUGUUUUGAGCUUUCCUUUUAUGUUGCUUCGAAGAAAAAUGAUGGAAUUAGUUUAGCUUUUCCUAUUUUCUGUUUUAGCGUCCCGGAGAAAAAUACCUCGAAAAUAAAAGUUCUCCGAUGGUCCUGAAAAUUUAGUAUGAUUUUUUCUGGAAUUUUUGAAAAUUUAUGGGCCUGAGAGCUGGUCAGGGGGCCUGACCAGUGGGGCACAAGCCCCCCCACCGGCACCUACCCCCCUGGUGGCUGGGUGCAAACUUGUGGGGCCCACAGGCACCUCCUCCACUCACUCCAGCUCUCAGCCUCUUCUUCCACCUCCAGAAAAAAUUGUUUCGCAGCUCAAACCCGUGUUCUUGCUCAUUUGGCUGUGAUUUUCGAUCUCCUUGCUCAAAGCACCAUUCUCCGAACUGUUUUGGAGAAAUUGCUCCUUGGUAAGUGACUCCUCCAUUGGUCCAAUUAGUUUUUGCUCUAGUACUUUAUCCUUCGUGAAUUCUUGCUACCUUGGUGACCCUGUGCUUGAGCUUGAAAAGUUGAUUUUAGCUGGUCCCAAGUAGUUUUAGCGCGUGAUACGGUCUCUAGGCACUAGUAGGAGUAGUUGCUACAAGGUGUGGUGGGUCUUUAUUCACUUUUCUCUUGAACUUCAAAAAUUUCAGCAAAGGAAAUUAUGUUGAGGAGGAAGUUUCAUGGUGGUUCCUCAAGUAAGAAGGGUCCUCGUCUCUCCUUUCGGGAGCCCGAACCUUUUCAACUAGGGGACGCACCGGUUCAACCAUGUGAAUGGCCUUCCGAUGAGUUCAUGAUCGAAGCAGGCUUCAAGGAUGAGUUCGAUGCACUUGUCCGCAAUGUCGGGUUAGAAGAAUUCCUCUCAGAUAAAUGUGAACAGUAUGCUAUGCUCACUGCCUCUUUUGUGCAUUGAUUCAAAUUUUUAGCUGGGCCUGAAUCAUCCAUACUGUUUGAUCUGUACGAUAAAUCCUAUACCGUGGAUAUGGGGGAUUUCAAUAGGAUUUGCAAGAUACCCGAUGGAGGUAGUGUUAUUGAUCCUCCUAAGUCCUCGGUCAGAGACUUUGUCUCCAAGAUAACUGUGGGAGAAACCAGAGAUAUCACGCAAGCCACCAUAGGAAGCAUCCAUUUCCCUGCCUUGCACUACCUUGCCCUCUUCGUAGGUAGGUGCAUUAACGGCAAGGGUGCACAUUGUCAACUAUGCGCUUUCGACCUUAGUAUCCUUAAGAGCGCAGUAACAGGUGACUGGAGCUUGAAUAUGGGAGCUAUUAUAGCAAGGAGGCUGAAUAAAAAUGCCAGUGAGGGGGAUUUCUUUGGUGGAGUUUAUCCUACACGCUUAGCAAAUUUUCUUGGAGUAUCCAUCCGUCCAGAAGACCCUCCUCUCCGUACUGCCUACCUUGAUUGUGUCGCUCUAACACGCUACCAGUUCCUUGAGAGAGAUCAUGGAUCCCUCCUAUACCGCUUGAUAUUUAACCCGCAUCGUGUUUUCCAUAUAACUCUUCCUGCUCCUGCUUUCUUUGAUUUUCAGGUUAAAUGAAGAUACUACAUAACCAUAGGAGAGGCAGAGGAGUAUGAGAGGGAGGCGAUUGCUGCUCGACUUCGUGAGGCAGCUAUUCAGGCAGUGGCUGCAGCACUCCCGUAUAACACCCAUUAUGACUUUGGGUUUCGCCAGGAUCAUCCAUGGGAGUAGACCAAGCUAGGCCAAAAGCCUAAGCUUGGGGGAGUACGUGUUCUCACCGACUUUACGUUCAUGCUUAUGCUUUCACUUUGUUAGCCGGUGUUUACACUUUGCUACUGUAUUAUCCAUGCUAGUUUCUUUUCAUUGGUUUUCUUGUUUUGUGUCCUUUUGAGAAAACCCAAAAAGAAUUUUCUUUCUUCUUUUGCUUGUUGGGAGCUCUCCCGUGUAAAUAGUUUUCUUUUUCUUUGUGUCAAGGUAGAAGAUAUUGGUUACAAUGCUUAGCGGUUCUUACAUGCUUACAUGUUUAGCUUUCAAAGAGCCAUAUUAUUUUGUCUUCUCCUUUGUGUUUGCCUGCAGAUUCAGCUUAGUCCAUUGCGCUUAUUAUUGUUCACAUCGUUCGAUCAUGCAAAUGAAAGGCAACAAUGAUGAUAUAUGAUGAAGUGACUGAGACUGAAAAGCUGGUAUGAACUCUAUCUAUUUUAUUUUUGUAAAUAUGACUAGCUUGUCGACCCAGAUUUAGCUUUGUUGUGAGAGAACCAUGUUUGCAAUGACAACUUAGAAAUCAUAGUUUCUGAUGCCAUGCUUAUUUAGCUGAGAGCUUAUAAUGGUUUGUCUUGAUUGCCAACAUAGAUUUUGAGAUGACUUUGAUGUAGUAUGAUAGGAUGGUAUUCUCCUUUGAAUGUUUCAAGUGGCUUGACUUGGCGCAUGUUAAUGCAUGUAUUUGAAACAAAAUCAACAUAGCCUCUAUGAUGUUCGUGUUCAUGGUGAUUUAUAUCAUGUUCAUGCUUGCAUUUAAUGUUAGUCAAACUCAUUGCAUCUUGAUGACUGUUGUCGCUCUCUAGUUGGUCGCUUCCCAGUCUUUUGCUAGCCUUCACUUGUACUAAGCGGGAAUACUGCUUGUGCAUCCACUUCCAUAAACCCAAAUUUUUUUCCAUGAGAGUCCACCAUACCUACCUAUUUGCGGUAUCUACCUGCCGUUCCAAGUAAAUUUGCAUGUGCCACUCUCUAAACCUUCAAGAAAUAAAUCUGUUUUUCAUGCCCGAACCGCUCAUGUGGUGACAGAGGGCUAUUGGUAUCUUCCAUGCUAGGAGUGUUAUCCUCGACAUGUGUUUAUUCACAGUCCUUCACGAGAAAGGGGACGGUAUUUGGGAUGCCCAGUUCCAUGCUUAAAUCGAAAACAUAACUAUAAAACAAGACUCCCCCCGGAUUGAUGUUAGUAUGGACGGUACCCGAGGAUUCGGCUAGCCGUGGAGUGUAAUUGAUUGGUGGUGGGGGAGUUAAAACUUUACUUUUCUGUUUGGGAACCGCCUAUAGCAUGAGUAGCAUGGAAGAUAUUGAGAACUCUUGGUCAUUGCGUUGACAAUGAAAGCAUGCCACCCAAAAUUAUUAUCUCUGUUUUCAAAGCUUGAGCUCUGGCACCUCUGCAAAUCAAUGCUUCCCUCUACGAAGGGCCUGUCUAUUUAUUUUCCUGUCGAGUCAUCCUCCUCUUAUAUAAGCACCAAUUAGAGAGCACCUCUGUCAUUUUUAUGCUUUGCUUUUGAUUGAUAUUGAGUAUGACUAUGACUGGAUCUUCGUUGCUAUGAAUUACAAUGUUUAGUCAGCCCUUGAUCUUUGAAAGUGCUCUGCAUUUAUCUUCGUUGCUAUGAUAGUAUCGGGGGGGUACUAGCCAUGGAAAAGUGAGAAUACAGUAAUAUAACAUCAAUCUAAAUAGAAAUAAAGUUUACUACGGUACCUAAAGAGUGGUGGUUUGUUUUAUUAUGCUAAUGAUAUCACGAGUUUCUGUUUAAGUUUCGUGUUGUGAAGUUUUCAAGUUUUGGGUGAUGUUCUCAUGGACAAUGAGAUAAAGAGUGGAAAUAGCUUAAUCUUGGGGAUGCACAAGGCAUCUCAAGCCAAAUUGAAGGACACCAAAAAGCCUAAGCUUGGGGAUGCCCCGGGAAGGCAUCCCCUCUUUCGUCUUCAAUCCAUCGGUAACGUUACUUGGAGCUAUAUUUUUAUUCACCACAUGAUAUGUGUUUUGCUUGGAGCGUCGUGUAUUAUAGGAGUAUUUUCUUUUUGUUUUGUCACAAUCAUCCUUGUUGCACACCUUUUGAGAGGGACAUGCACUCAUCGUGAAUUUGCUAGAAUACUCGUUGAGCUUCACUUAUAUCUUUUGAGUUAGGCAAUUUAGCUCGCAUGUGCUUCAGUUAUAUCUUUUGAGCUAGAUAACUUUGCUCUAGUUCUUCACUUAGAUCUUUUUAGAGCAUGGCGGUGUCAUAUUUUGAAGAAAUAAGAACUCUCGAUCUUCACUUAUAUCUUUUUGAGAGUGCUCUCUCUAAGUAACUUGGUAAUUGGCGUGCGCUAUGAAAGUACUAAAGAUGAUAGGCAUCCAAAGAGGAUAUAAUAAAAACUUCCAUAUUCAAGUGCAUUGAUUAGUAAGAGAAGUUUGAUUCCUCUCAAUUAGCUUUGAGAUAUGGAUAUGGUAAUAUUAGAGUUAUGUUAGUAGGGUGUUGUGAAUCUACAAAUACUUGUGUUGAAGUUAGUGAUUCCCGUAGCAUGCACGUAUGGUGAACCGCUAUGUUAGGAAGUCGUAGCAUAAUUGAUUUAUUGAUUGUCAUCCUUUGUGUGGUGGUCGGGAUCGCGCGAUGGUUAAACACCUACCAACCCUUCCCCUAGGAGUAUGUGUUUAGCGCUUUGUUUCGAUUACUAAUAAAACUUACGCAAUAAGUAUAUGAGUUCUUCAUGACUAAUGUGUGUCCAUGGUAUAGAUGCACUUUCACCUUCCACCAUUGCUAGCCUCUCUAGUGCCGCGCAACUUGCACCGGUGCACAAACCCACCAUAUACCUUCCUCAAAACAGCCACCAUACCUACCUAUUAUGGCACUUUCAUAGCCAUUCCGAGAUAUAUUGCCAUGCAACUCCCACCGUUCCGUCUCAUGACAUGUGUCAUCACUUUCAUAUUGCGAUUUCAUGAUCGUAAGAUAUCUAGCAAGAUGUUUCAACGUCAUACGCUAAGCUAGAUCGUUGCACAUCCCGAUACACUACCGGAGGAAUUUCAUAUAGAGUCAUCAUUGUUCUAAGUAUUGAGUUGUAAGUAAAUAAAAGUGUGAUGAUCAUCAUUAUUAGAGAAUUGUCCCAUGUGAGGAAAUAAUAAAAAAGGCCAAAGAUGCUCACCAAAAAAAUUACAAAAAGAAGCCGAAGAGCCCAAACAAAAAAAUGAGAGAAAAGAGAGAAGGAACAAUGCUACUAUAUUUUUCCACACUUGUGCUUCAAAAUAGCACCAUGUUCUUCAUGACAGAGAGGCUCUCGUUUUGUCACCUCCAUAUACUAGUGGGAAUUUUCAUUAUAUAACUUGGCUUGUAUAUUCCAAUGAUGGGCUUCCUCAAAAAUGCCCUAGGUCUUCGUGAGCAAGCAAGUUGGGUGCACACCCACUAGUUUUCCUUUUGAGCUUUCACACACUUAUAGCUCUAGUGCAUCCGUUGCAUGGUAAUCCCUACUCAUUCACAUUGAUAUCUAUUGAUGGGCAUCUCCAUAGCCCGUUGAUAUGCCGAGUCAAUGUGACCAUCUCCUCCUUUUUGCCUCAUAACGUCCACCACACUCUAUUUCACCUAUAGUGCUAUAUCCAUGGCACACGCUCAUGUAUUGCGUGAGAGUUGAAAAAGUUUGAGAAAGUAAGAGUGCGAAAACAAUUACUUGGCCAAUAUCGGGGUUGUGCAUGAUUUAAAUUCGUUGUGUGAGGAUGAUGGAGCAUAGCCAGACUAUAUGAUUUCGUAGGGAUAACUUUCUUUGGCCUUGUUAUUUCAAAAGUUCAUGAUCACUUUGCUAGUAUGCUUGAAGUAUUAUUGUUUUCAUGUCAAUAGUAAACUAUUGUUCUGAAUCUUAAGGAUCUAAACAUUCAUGCCACAAGAAAGAAGUUACAAAGGACAAAUAUGUUAGGUAGCAUUCCACAUCAAAAAUUCAGUUUUUGUCACUUCCCUACUCGAGGACGAGCAGGAGUUAAGCUUGGGGAUGCUUGGUACAUCUCCAACAUAUCUAUAAUUUUUUAUGGUUCCAUGCUAUUAUCUUGUCAACUUUGGAUGUUUUAUAUGCAUGAAUGUGAUAUAUUAUAUCUUUUUUGGGACUAACCUAUUAACUCAGUGCCAAGUGCCAGUUUAUGUUUUUUCCGUGUUUUUGACCUUUUCCACAGAAGAAUAUUAAACGGAGUCCAAACGGAAUAAAACCUUUGGGAUGAUUUUUUCCAUAACAAAAGAUACGUAGGGGACUUCAGAACCAAGGCACAAGACCCCAGGGGAGGUCACAAGCCCCCUAGCCGCAGCUUGGGGGCACGCCUAGCUGGCUUGUGGGCCCCACGUGGCUCCUUUUCCCUACUUCUUUCGCCUAUAAAUUCCCUAAAAAUCCAGAACCACCAGAGAGAGCCACAAAAAUACUUUUCCGCCACCGCAAGCUUCUGUCUCCGCAAGAUCCCAUCUAGGGACCGUUCUGGUGCCCUGCCGGAAGGGGAUUCAGACACGGAGGGCUUCUUCAUCAACACCAUUGCCUCUCCGAUGAUGCGUGAGUAGUUCACCAUAGACCUUCAGGUCCAUAGCUAGUAGCUAGAUGGCUUCUUCUCUCUCUUGGAUCUUCAAUACAAAGUUCUCCAUGAUCUUCAUGGAGAUCUAUCCGAUGUAACCUUCUUUUGCGGUGUGUUUGUCGAGAUCCGAUGAAUUGUGGAUUUAUGAUCAGAUUAUCUAUGAAUAUUAUUUGAGUCUCUUCUGAUCUCUUAUAUGCAUGAUUUCGUAUCCUUGUAAUUCUCUUCGAGCUGUGGGUUUUGUUUGGCCAACUUGAUCUAUAAUUGUUGCAAUGGGAGAAGUUCUUGGUUUUGGGUUCAAACUGUGCGGUGUCGUCACCUAGUGACAGAAGGGGUAGCGAGGCAUGCAUUGUGUUGUUGCCAUCAAGGGUAAAAUGAUGGGGUUUAUAUCUAUUGCAUGAAUCUAUCCCUCUACAUCAUGUCAUCUUGCUUAAGGCGUUACUCUGUUUGUUAUGAACUCAAUACACUAGAUGCAUGCUGGAUAGCGGUCGAUGUGUGGAGUAAUAGUAGUAGAUGCAGAAAGUAUCGGUCUAGUUGUCUCGGACGUCAUGCCUAUAUGUUUGAUCAUUGCCUUAGAUAUCAUCAUGAGUUUGCGCGAUUCUAUCAAUUGCUCGACAGUAAUUCAUUCACCCACCGUAAUACUUGCUAUCAUUAGAGAAGCCUCUAGUGAACACUAUGGCCCACGGGUCUACUUUAAAUCAUAUUUUCAGAUCCACAAAGUUACUUUGUUGCACUUUUCACCUUCAAAUCUCACCUUGCAAAUAAUCGUGAAGGGAUUGACAACCCCUUUAUAGCGUUGGGUGCAAGUUUGUUUGUUUUUGCGCAGGUACAUUGGUGCCUCAUCUUGAUACUCCUACUGGAUUGAUACCUUGGUUCUCAAACUAAGGGAAAUACUUACUGCUAUUGUGCUGCAUCACCCUUUCCUCUUCUAGGGAAAAACCAACGCAAUGUCAAGAGGUAGUAGCGCGCGGCAUCGAAGCCAACCCCGAGAAGAUCAGAACCAUCGAGCACAUGGCCAAGCCGACUCGACUCCUCGAGGUCCAAAAGUUUGCCGACUGCCUAGCAUCCCUCAGCCGGUUCGUCAUCCGGUUGCGUGAGAAGGUGCUACCUCUUGAGCUUGCGUUGGUAUUCCCUUGAAGAGUAAAGGGUGAUGCAGCGAAGUAGAUAACUAUUUCCCUCAGUUUGUUGAGACCCAAGGUAUCAAUCCAGUAGGAGGAAUAAGCGAGAUUCCAAUAGUAGUACCUACACAAAUAGUCAAACACUUGCACCCAACGCUAUAAAGGGGUUGUCAAUCCCUUUAGAGUUAUUUGCAUGGAUGAGAUCUAAUAGAGAUAGGUAUAAAAUAUUGAUAGAUCUGAAAGUAAAACUAAAGUAAAUAAAUUGCAGCAAAGUAUUUUUGGCAUUUUUGGUUUAUAGAUCUGAAAAUAUAAUAUGGAAAAUAGACCCGGGGGCCAUAGGUUUCAAUAGAGGCUUCUCUCUGUCACAUCCCUAGAUUUCCUCUUGGUGAUUAGCAAGAUUGUGCUCAUGUUUUAUUCUUGCAUUAAAAAUGAAAUAGGGAUGAAAGAAACCCUAGCACCUCACCUUGUUUAAACCAAAAUAAAAAAGAGUGUGAUUUCAAUGAACCGAAAAUGGCCUUCAUAAAAGCCCAAUUUUUUUGAUAAAUAUUGGAAACAAUAUUUCAGGGUUGGGUAUUGUUUUUAAAAUACUUCUAGCAUUUUAUUUAAACCAUCAAAGCCACUGAUAUUACCCAAAUAUGUGCUUUUAAAUAUCUCAGGAUAUUACAAAAUGUUGAAAUAUUUUUGGUGGACUUCGAAAUAUUCCAAAUAACACCCCACAAUUAUAUUCCCUAUUUUAGGAAUAGUUUGGAGCCAAAAAAAUAAAUGGGGAGAAGAAGCUUACCUGUCGCCCAGCCCCAAGCGCAACUACCUCUUGUCGUCUUCCUCCUUUGCCAGUGGGCAGCAGGAGCUGACCGCCGCUUCCUCGUGCCUGGCCACCUAGAUGCGCUGGCGAGGUAGAUAAGCUUCCCCGCGAUCCAUUGUCGUCAUCUCCCUCUCCCCAUUCGAUCUCCUCCCCCUUCUCCCUCUCUGCUCGCCGUGGCCGGAGCUUGAGCUCACGUCGCCAAGCUGCAGCAGCCAUCCAUUCCUUCCUCGGAGCCGCGCAGAAGCACCGUCGUGAUCCUCUGAAGCUUUCCAGCAAGUCACACGACACCGAGAGCCCCUAUGACGCCGGAUCGACGUCGUCUUCUUCCUCAGGCCGCCGACGUUCGACAGCAUCAUUCUCCCUCUCCAAACCAUCCCCGAGCCCGCUCUCGACGCCUCUUCAACCCUCGUGAGCUCCGGAUGCUUUUCCCCCUCUUUUCCCCUUCGAUUCCGAGCCCUAGCACCCGAUUCCACCGGAGCUCGAUGAGAUCCGCCGUGGGAGCUCAUCACCGGUGAGGCUCCGGUGAUGGGUUGAUCCAUGUGAGACCACGAGUAGCUUCAGCGUGCUGUGUAGGUUUUGUAGGUGCCAAACCCCGAUCCAUUUGCGUUCUGUUUCAAUGCUCUCGAUGUUGCCCGAGCUCCGGCAGCCGCCGAGCUCGUUGUCGGCGUUGACUCCGGCCUUUUCAACCCCCAAGGCUUGCAAAAAUGGAUUCACGGGUGAGUGGUCGUUCUCCCAGCGCCUUCCGCCGCUCGUUUGGUCGCCGGAGGAGCAUUCCCGAUGCCCUCCGCCGUCCCUGGAGCCACCGAAGGCUCGCCGCCGGUGGGUUUGACCCCGUGGCUCUCUGCCAUGUGGGGCCAGCCCUGAGUGAUUAAGUUAGGUUAAUUAAAAAUAUAUUUUUAAUGCCUAAACUGACACUGACAUGUGGGCCAGCCUCUGCUAAUGAUCUAACUAAUUUAAAACUUAACUAAUUUCUAACUAGAGUCACUCACCAGUGGGUCCCGCUGGUCAGGUUUGACUUUCAACGGCUAGAUUGACCUGCUGAUGUCAUGCUGAUGUACUAAAUUCAUUUCUAAAUUAAAACAAUUCCAGAAUAAGUUCAAAACCUUCGAAAAUUCAUAGAAAAUAAUCUGUAACUCAGAUUAAAAUAAUUUAUAUAUGAAAAAUUAUCAAGAAAAUCCAAAGAAUUCAUGUAUGACAAAAUAAGUUAUAUAAUAGCAUCAGGUCAAAUCAAUUAAAGGAAUUUAAUAAAUGUCCUACUUUAAGUAAUAUUUGAACUUGAAUUCAAAUCAGAAUCAAACCAAGGUUUUGAUAGCCACACUAGCUCAUGCUACAUUUCAUUUCAUGUCUUGAUCAUGCAUCAUAUUGUUGCAUUUGUAUGAUAUUGAUUGUUGCUAUUAUUCGGUAGCCUCCGCUCCACAGGAUACCCAGGAGUAUCCGUCUGAAGGAGCGUAUCCUUCCGCUUAUCUUCAAGGCAAGCACCAUUUUUUAUCAUCCCGAUAAAAUUCCAUGUUCCCGCUCCUACUCUCACUUAUUGCAUUAGGACAAAAUAUUUCAAAAGCUUUACUUCGGUAGUUGAACCCAUUCCUUUGCAUGACCUGUCAUUGUCAUAGUAAAUAGCCAAACCUUGUAACCUAGCAUACCUGGUAGUUUCUUGAGCCAUGAUGUGUCUUAUUCUACUAUGCUUGAUGUGCCUAUAGUUGUGUCAGGUCUGUUUCAUCUGGGUGCUGAACAAGAAUGGAAGAAUGUGUUCUAGUGACAAAAGAAUAAGUGUGGAACCUGAUUUGGUAAAGGUACUGAUGAAAGGCUAUGUAGGAGUACAUGGCAGGUUGUUUCAUUGGAACCGUCCUUAGGAAGUGAAUUCCGUGUAUGUAAUCCAAGACUAGUUACUACAACAUGCUGGGCCCUCAAAUAUGACCCCACUCGACUGAUUAAUCGCCUAGUACUCGGUCGAGUAGUUGCAAGUAGUUUCUGGUGUUUAUAGUCAUGCUGGAGGCCGUGCAUAGUGAUGACCUUAGAGGUGGGCUAUGACGCGGUAGGCAGUGGCACGGUGUACCAAGUGGCACCCGGAUGGUGGGCAUGGGAACCCUGCGCACAUCGUUUGGGGCCGUAGCGGAAACUUCGGUCGGACUUCCUUGCGGGUUCACUCUCAAAUAGGCGAUAAACCUAGACUAGGUAUUAGCAUGGUUAAUGGUCGUUGCCGACUCCCUCGCUGGGCUUCCGCUUGAAGGUUGCCAAGGUGCAUGACGUGUACAUGGCGAUAAGUGGCAAGAGCGUGUGUGAAGAAGUACAUCCCUGCAGGGUUAUGAUCUAUUCGAAUAGCCGCGUCCGCGGAUAUGGACUACUUGGAGACAUAUGUUGUUCAUAGAUAACUUUAAUGGCUACUCAUAAAAGUAUCAAGAUAAGUGUGAGUAUCAUGUAUGGCAUUCCCGUAGGGAGACGGGAAGGAAUCCAUGAUAGUGUAUUGUUGUGGUGGUAGUGGACUCGUGUACGACUUAUCAAAGUUGUUUAAAACUAUUUAAAGUUGUAGUAUAGGAUAGCCAAGAGUCAAAGCUGGCUUGCUGCAUGAAACCCCACAACCCCCUUUAUUGAUACAUGUGCAUGGGUAGAUAGAUCUGUUCUAAAGUCUUGUUGAGUACCUUUGUACUCAUGUUUGUUUAAUAAAUGUUGCAGAAGACACCCAUGAGCCAGCAGGUGGGUUCUGUCUAGACGUCGAUGAUGACGAGUAGUUGGUGUCCCAGCUACGACCUGGCCCCUUUCAGAAGGGAUUUCUAGAUAGUCAGGCUUUAUGCCUUAUCCUUUCAACUGUCUGUACUCAGACAACUUUAAUGCUUCUGGAUGGCUUGUAUGACUUUGUUUGUAUGACUUGAGUGUCGGGUCAUGUGACCCCUACUUGUAUGCACUUAUUAUGAAAGACUCUUCCGAGUCUUCUAAAUAAAUGUUGUGAUGUUGUAUGGUUACGUUGUGAUGCCAUUGUUGUAUCUAUGCAUAUCGAGUAUGUCACGCGUACGUGUGAUGUACUUUGAUAUGUAUGGGAUUCGACACCUAGUCGUAUGCCCUUAGUAGCUCUCUAUACAGAGAAAUGCCCCUUUGUGUUUCCACCGAGCCUUGGUAGUUCACUACUGCUCCGGACACAUUGGUUGACCGGCAUGUAUCCUUCUUAGUUGCUAUGUCUGUCCCUACGGAGUAAUGUCACACGAUGUAAUGGAGUCCUUGUAGCUUGUUAUGACUCGUCUACACUCGUUGAUGACCGACACGUGCUUUGCUGGGUUAUGUAUGCCUGUCUUUGUACAGUUGAACCACUUGAGUUUAUGACUAGUUAUGUCGACCCGGGUUCUUCAACAUUGGAAUGCUAGCGACACAAUUGCAUACUUGAGUCAAAAGGCGCAAACGGUCCCGGCUAAGGUAAGGUGGCAGUCGUGGUGUUAACCGUGCGUGAGACCGCAAAGGGAUGAGAUGUGUUACAUGUUGGAUUCCAAUGGCUUAGGAUCGGGGUCCCGACAGCGUUGGUAUCAGAGCUUGACUGACUAUAGGAUUACCAAGCCAAACUGGUCGAAGUCGAGUCUAAAAAUGCUUUAUUUAUAUGUAAGGGAAUUGUUUGUGGAAGGGAACGUAAGGCUCUUGCUUCUCUUCUCAAGUCAUUCUGUUCUGGUCAUCCUUAUCUUUUCUACGGGGAUUAAGAACUAGGUUUCUUAUCUAUCUCUCAGGUUCGUGUGUUACUAAUUGGUAGAUUGUAGGGAAAACGGUUCGAGAGUCAAUCUGAAUUUUUCUUUUGUUUCAAGAAAAAAUAUAAGUAUUUGUUGACCAUGGACUUUGAACUUGAUAAUUGAGUGGUUAUGCUAUCCAAACUUUUGUGGAUUGUCUCAAAAUUGUUUUUGACCAUUUACACGCGUUAUGCUGCCCAAUUUCAUUUCUAGAGCUCUAAAGCCUUUGCAUUAUUCUCUUUUUCAAAUGCAUGUCCGUCCUUUUCGUCAGGUAGUCCGUCUGACUAGGUGCAUUGAUGUACCAGGUCACACGGCCAUGCUGGUCAGGAUGAUGUCAGGAGCCGGUUACCGCUAGUACCCAGAGUAUACAGUGGAGGAGCAGUACCGGGAUUUCAACCAGAGUUAGUACAUGUGCACGGUUAGGGAAUUCCCAGAUUACCCUGGAUCGAGGAGCCGAUCCAUUGGUCUUAUGGAUUGGGGGUUACCGUUGAAAUGGCGGUACAAGAUUCCGCCUAUUCAAUGUUGACCAUCAUGAGAGCCAGACAUGCACUACUGCAGACUUCAUAGUUCUGUUAUGUUCCAGCUUCUCAGCCAGGAGAAGAAGGAUAUCUCAGUGGAUUCUACUUUGAUUCUUCUUUGGAGGAUCCACUGCUGCAGAUUACCACUCAGAUGUCAGAGAAUAGAGACCGAGAUGCUCGUGCCCUUCGUAUGGAGCUUUAUGCUACUCGUGAACGUCUCUGGACAACUUUGACACAGCUAGCGACUAUAGUUCAGACAGGCUAUGGAGACAUGGAGAUGUUGAACCCAGUUAGGACUCAUCUACCAGCUCAUGUUGAUUGGCCUGCUAUCGGAGUGUCACCUGAUACGUCUCCUACGUAUCCAUAAUUUUUGAUGGUUUCAUGCUAUUAUCUUGUCAAACUUUGGACGUUUUGUAUGCCUUUUAUAUCUUUUUUGGGACUAACCUAAUAACUCAGUGCCAAGUGCCAGUUCCUGUUUUUUCUGUGUUUUUGACCUUUUUCAGAGGAGGAUUCUAAACGGAGUCCAAACGGAAUAAAACUUCCGAAAAGAUUUUUUCUGAAACAGAAGACGAUCGGGAGACUUGAGAACCAAGGUAGAGGGUGUUGGAAAUAUGCCCUAGAGGCAAUAAUANNNNNNNNNNNNNNNNNNNNNNNNNNNNNNNNNNNNNNNNNNNNNNNNNNNNNNNNNNNNNNNNNNNNNNNNNNNNNNNNNNNNNNNNNNNNNNNNNNNNCCCCCCUAACCCCCUCCCGUCACCCCCGUGGGUGACCAGGGGGUAACCCUAGCCGCCGCCGUCGGUCCUCCCUCACUCCUCCUUCAUCCUCGCCGCCGGGCGAAGCCUGGCCGGCAGGGACGGCGGCGGGGAUCCUCUCCCCUUCACGCGACAUGGCUGGCGCUGGACGACCGUUCGUGAGGAGGCGCCGGACUAGCACGCGGUGCGGGGGCGCUGCAUGUGGAUCCUAGCGGCGGCGUGCGGAGCGCGUCAACGACUGGGGUUCGUCCUUGUGGCGCGGUGUGGCGGCUGCGAGAGGGGCAAGACAUGGUGGUCGCGUGCGUCGUCGAGUUCGGGUCAGAUCCUUCUGGAUCCGGCGCCCAGACGCCGUCGGCCAGCGCAGGGUGGUGGUACUCGUCACUGUUCAGAUUGGAUCUUCAUUGAUCCAGAUACCCGCGGUGUGCUUCUCUCCUGCGGUUUCUUGGUGUUGCUGGCGUGCCCGCGGAUGAAGCUGGUGGAGGAGAUUCAGAUAAGGGGAAACCCAUUGGUCGGCCCUGGCCGGCCGCGCCGCCGCCGAUGCUCAAGGGCGCCGUUUUUCUUCUUGGAGACGUCGGUCUACGUCUGCUCCUCCACUUCCUACCUCACUGCCUCUUGGGUGAAAACCCUAACUCCGGUGGGCGGCGGCGGCGUCCUUGACGUCGUGACCUUCCUGAAGGCGUCGCCUUGAGGGCUGAGUGGUGGUGGCACUAUGUGGGUCAUGGACAGUUGCUGGUGGUGGGCAUUGCUUCGAAGGAAACCCUAAGAUCUGACUUUCCAGAUCGAACGACGGCGGUACUGUGGUGCCGUUUCUCUCUUGGGAGCAUCGUUUGUGGAGCAGCGCUGGAUGACAGAGGCAGGAGAUGGAGCGGCUUUGUCUGGCCCGAAGAUUUGGUGGAACUAUCAAGUCAUGCAUGGCCGACAGGUGCUACGCUGAGUCAUGCCUGGUUGGUAGGUGCUACGCACGACAGUUCUUCCAGAAUCUUCGUGUCUGGACGAAUGAGCGCAGGGCGGUGGCGCUGUUUGGCGUCGUGGCGGCGUCGAUCAUCUUGCACGGAGCUUUCGUUGGAGAUGUCAAGUCAUGCCUGGCCGACAGGUGCUACGCUGUGUCAUGCCUGGCCGGCAGGUGCUACGCACGACAGAUCUUCCAGAAUCUUCGCGUCUGGAUUGACGAGUCGUGGUGGCGUCGACGGAUGGACGGACUGACAAGGAUGAUACAGAUCUCUCUCCUGAAGAUGGGUUAGCGGCCUAAUGAUGAUGGCGGCAUCUAAAACGUGUGCAUGUGGUGUACGCUUUAGGUCUGCUGCACCGGCUGUGGGUUCCGAUACGUUAUGUGGAUGUAUCGGUGACGGCACCGGUUUUAGAUAUGGGGAGUGAGAGCACUCCACAUUAUCGAGUUUUGUAGGUGUGAGUGGUGGCUUCAGAUGGUUUGAUGUAUGUUCUUGUUAGACCUAUGUUGAAUAAUUAAUAAAAAUGGUCGUAUGCAUCGAUUGAUGCAGAGGCCGGGGGUUUGAACCUCCUUUUCUAAUUUUUUUUUUAUCUAUUUCAGAUGUUCAUACAUAUAUGUGACUGUUCGUCUGGUGUGUUAUAAUAUUGAUUGCCUAAUGAACUGCAAGUGAUUAUGGAUAAAUCAAACUCUUGUUUAAUGAUUAUAAACAAGGUGAUAGGGGUUGCCGUUGACAACUCUCUUUUUACCAUGUUUAAUUUAAUGUUGGCAAUAUAUCAUGAAGGUUGUUUAAGGCGCAAUUUCAACUAAGCUAAUUAGAAAUUCCUGCAGAGAAAUGUUGAUUGGAGCUAAGUGAUACCGUCAUAUAACGCUAAAACUUGUGCGUACAAUGGAGGAUCAUCCUGGCCAUCCUAUUUCCAACUAUGUAAGUAGUUACUAUUUAUAGUGAAACUUGUGUUUUGGGGCUUGUUACGCCACAAAUAACAAACUUAUAUGCUGGCUUCUGCACACGUAGGAUUUCCUGUCAGGGAAUGGCUGUCAUUCGAAGAAAUUAGUUGAUAAGAAUUACGACCAGGACUCCUCAUCAACCAAGUCUGACCGGUCACAACAAGAAGCACCUGCAAUGACUGACAGUAGUCUAAAUGAGCAACACGUCUCAAGACCCUCAUCACAAUCUGGUAGUAUUAUCACAUUGUCACACUAGUAAUCUGAAUUUCGCUGCAGUUUCAACUCUUAUGAUGUAGUAGCAUUUUUCUUUUCUGAAUCUAGGUAUCCAUUUUGUGAGCUUUAAUUUUCCGUCACUCCUAUUACUAUGCUUCUUACCAAUGCUUAAACUCAUAAUUUGUCUUUUCUCAAAAGAUGAAGAGAAGAUUAUCUCUGUAAACUAAGUUCUGAUGGGUCGUUUGCUUUAUUAGUGACUCUCUCCGAUGAUGUUCACAUCGCCCAAGCCCCAUUUACAGUGAGAUGAAUUGAUGUGACCAUAUCUUCAUGUUAACAGUAACACUGCUUUUUGUUUCAGACAAUGACAAUGAUCAUGGGAAGCCUGAUCAGCACAUGAUAAAGUCACUGUUAUCUUUGGGGAACCCAGAUACUGUUGCUCCCCCUCCAAUGCUUGCCUGUAGCCAAUCAUUUGUAAGUUCAUGUCAUCAUGGGAAUUGUUCUCUAUCUCAUAUGCUGCCGUCAGUUAUCCAGCUAUUUUUAUUUUAUUUUGUUAUAGGCAUAUAUUCCUUAUCCUGCUGAUGCUUACGCUGGGGUCUUUCCAGGAUAUGCCUCACACGCUAUUGUAAGUUUGCUCUAUCCUUUUCCACUCUAAAUCCUGUCAGAGCUUUUACUGUUCAAGGUGAUUACCUAUCCCAUUUAUAUCUCCGUGGUUCAUUUAUGAGUUCUUUAAAUUUGUUUACGAUUUGUUGAGUUUUGGAGAUCUCAUUCAUUCUGCUAUGGCCUAGCUAAACCCGGGCAAAUGUUGGGCCGGGGCGGGUUUCGAGCCAGGCUUGUUAAGCCCGACCUUCAUUUCUCAAGCCCGAGCCCGGCCCGAAGCCCGAAAUGCUCUGUUUCUUCAGGCUCGAAGCCCGAAAGCCUGGCCCGAACGCUGUUUUUGGGUGUACGCACGUGCAAGCCCGGCCCGAAAUACAAAAAAAGAGAAGCCCGAGCCCAGCCUGAACUAUCUUUCGGGCUGCAAAACAAGGCCCGAGCCCAGCCCGAAUGGCAAGCCCGACCCGGCCUGGGUUUUUCGGGCUGGGCUGCCCAUGACCGGGCCCUAGCCUCAUUGUGAAGAUAAUCUUCCUACCUAAUUAUUGCUGAGUUCAAUUACUGUUGAGAAGCAACAUAAACACAAAAAGUGUCUUCUCAAAUGAAAGAGGAAUGCAUAGACAGUUCUUUCAUUGUUUUCCACAUUAAGGAUUUGAGCUUUAUUGAUCGCAUCAGAAAUAGUGGAAACCAAUGGAUAUGAUUAACUGAAAUCAUAUUUUGAUCCUGCCAAUGCACAUGAUAGUGGUCAUAUUUAUGGCAUAUAGUUUCAUGUGAUUGUUAAAAAAUGCCCCCCCCCCUUCUCGUCAUAUUUAUCGGAAAAAGACUAAUGGUUCUACAUCAACGAUUUGUGUAUUAUUUACCCAGGUUCAUCCCCAAUUAAAUGCUGCAACAAACUCUCGUGUGCCGCUCCCUGUUGAGCCUGCAGCAGAAGAGCCAAUGUUUGUUAAUGCGAAGCAAUACCAUGCAAUUCUUAGGAGGAGACAGAUACGUGCUAAAUUGGAGGCCCAAAAUAAGCUGGUGAAAGCCCGGAAGGUAAUAUAAUAUACUCCCUCCAUCCUGAAAUAAGUGUCGCUGGUUUAGUACAAAAAUUGUACUAACUUAAUACUAAAUUUACAUCACUUAUUUUGGGACAGAGGGAGUACUAAAGAAUUUUUGUUCCUGAUACUUUUUUUUGUAAAGAAAUGCUUCUGUUUUCUCUGGUAUUUGCUGACUGCUGCACCAAUGCAUAGAUUUAUUAGGCUGCCUUGGUAAUAUUCAUAGUACUAAUCUGACCUGAGCACUUUCGUAACAAACCUUGAUAAGAAACCUCGGGCAGGCAAAUUGCAACAUUCCUUUGUUCAGAAUUUUAGUUUCUGAAGGCUUGUACCCAUCUACUUAGAACUAUAAGUUUUACCUAGCAAGUACCUUUUCUAACAUUGCCCCUUCCAUCCAGCCAUACCUUCAUGAAUCUCGGCACCGCCAUGCCAUGAAGCGAGCUCGUGGAACAGGAGGGCGGUUCCUCAACACAAAGCAACUCGAGGAGCAGAAGCAGAAGCAGGCUUCAGGUGGUGCAAGCUGUACAAAGGUCCUUGGCAAGAAUACAGUCCUUCAGAGUAGUCCCACCUUCGCACCUUUGGCAUCAGCUCCUUCCAACAUGUCAAGCUUUUCAACAACCGGCAUGCUGGCUAAUCAGGAGCGCGCCUGCUUCCCCUCACUUGGCUUCCGUCCCACGGUUAGCUUCGCUGCACUGAACGGCAACGGGAAGCUGGCCCCGAACGGCAUGCACCAACGCGCUUCCAUGAUGAGGUAAAGCAAAGCAUCCUCUGGUGCGGCGCCGGUGGCAAUUCAUCCUUGGCUUAUGAAGAUGUUCCGGAAAUGUGGUUGCAGUACCAAGACAUUGUUAUUAGUCCUUUUGAGUUUCAUCUAGUUGAAAGCACUGGUGUGCUGAUGACACUCUAUGUGGAGACUGAAAUCUUCAUCAGAUUUCUUUUGUGUGUACUUAUUCAAAUAAGGCACACCCUGAUGAUCUCAGAGAUCGGAGUCGGGCAUGGUUGAGACACCAUAGGCCUGUCCUUCCUUACCUGUUGUGAUUUGUGAAUGUAUCUGGUAAUUAACUCAGAGGUGGUUGAGCUUCAAGCUUUUGAGGAAUGCUGUUGCAGUUAAGCAACUUUGCAACCUGCUUUGCCUGAUUUCAGUACCUGCAACUUUGUAUCACAUUUUGCAUUUGAUUUGGUGACUUGCCACAAACACAAAUCACAUUGGGUUUCUGAAACAUGAAUUUCCAAACGAACCUGAAAGUGAUCUCAAUUAUAGGUGAAUGAUGGUCUAGUGGAUGUUACAUGAGUUCAUCUUAUUGUUCAUUGUUAUCUCAUACUUCAACGUUCAUCAGCAAACUCUAGCUUCUGCCACAAAAAUAUUUCACUGGCAAUAGGGUAGAGAUGUUGAAUCUGAACAAUGUUGCACGUGCCAGAAGGUGAAAUCUAGGAAUAAAUCGCCUGCAUAUCAGAUACUAGCAAAUGGAAAUUCAGUAUGCCUCCCUCAAUAAGGAAGGCCUGUGAGUACAAAAGAAAAAGAGUUCUGGCCUCAAAUAUCUCAAAAUGCUGAGCAGAACUCGGGUUUAAAGGGGAGCUUUUAGCAACACAACAUCAAUUUACAGACCCAAUGGUAGACAAUUUACAAUCUGGGCAAAAAGGAGUUAUGAGGUGGAAGUGGAAAAUGGCUCUUCAGGUUUAAAGGGAGGCACUCAUCCUCAGCACCAUUUCAAGCCUCUCGGCCUUGCGGUAGUCAUUCUCAGUAAGGGUUCCAACAGGAAAAGGCGUAAUCUCCAGAACUAGGUGAGGGCCAGGGAGCUCAUCAAACAAAGCUCUUACAUUGUAGCAGCAUACGCUCUCUCCAUGCGCACUCUCCCUCCUGAUUUGACAACCCUGAUUGAAAGUUGAGACAUUCAGUUAACAGAGCACGGAUUUUAGAAGAAUAACAAGAUAACAUCUCAGUUUGUGAGAUGCGAAGCAGACAAAACAGCUAGAGAAAUGUAUUUCUCCUGGCUGAAGAAUGAAAUCACCUUGUGAGUGGAAGCAUCCACAAAAUUGUCAUCUUCAGAUAGAACCAAAGCAAUUUCUUUAAGAAUUCGGCGACCUUCUUCCUUCGAAGGAACUCGGUACAUCCUCUUGAGUGUGCCUUUGGUCGUGGGUUUCCAUUUGCUGACGAGCUUCCAUUUAUCCUGGCCUUCUUUGUCACCUGAAUAACAAGAGCAUGCAUCAGCUUCAUGUAUGAAACCAUAUAUAAUGGGCAAUGAACUAGAAUUACACAUCUUCUACAAUAUUUUCAAGAUUCUUGUCCCCAUAAAGGCAUCAAAGACACAUAUCUACUGUACUGGAUCCAACAUUCUGGUGUUCACCAAAAUCAUGAUGCUUCCUUGUGAAUCACUUGUCAAACCAUUUGGGUAUGCGUUGUCUCCUGCGUCCUCGAUACAGAAACAACGGAAUACUCCCUCUGUAAACUAAUACUAUAAGAUGUUUUAGAUCUGAUCUAAAUCAUCUUAUACUCCCUCCGACCCAAAAUUCUUGUCUUAGAUUUGUCUAGAUAUGAAUGUAUCUAGUCAUGUUAUAGUAUUUUGAUACAUCCAUUUCUAGACAAACCUAAGACAAGAAUUUUGGGACGGAGGGAGUAUUAGAUUACAGAUGGAGUAGCAUUUAACACAUGAAGCCUGAAAGGUUAACCAUGUUACCAGUAGGCUGUAUUAUAUCAAGAAAAAGAAACAGGUUGAUCCCCGUAAGGUGAGGUUCGACACCAAAAAUGGGUUCUUAGGUCCUUUCGAUAGUUAAAUGUGUAUCACAAAAAAGAAGCAAAGAAAUUGGAAUCAUAAUUACUACAGUUUUGGAAAAGUAUUUAUACAGAGAUAUAAGCACUGGAAUUUAGAUAUGUCAACGUGAAGAAGAAAAACAAGCGAUUGUCAGUAUCCUCCAUACCAUACACACAAGAGAUACUAAGAAAAAUAUAGUGACAAAACUGAGAAGUACUAAAAAACAGAGCCAAGAAAACUAUCAAGACCACAAAUCCUCCAUGUAGUACUCUUCCCAGUUUGAGAGUUCCUUGCACAGUACUCCCUCUGUCCGGAUAGACAAGGCAUACUUGACUUACCAAUUAUAGCUUUGACUGUAACUUUGUUUCAACUUUUAACGAUGUUUUAUCAAUAGUUACAAAAUCACAAUCAUAAGAAAGAUACUUCUGGCGAAGCUUAACAAAGGUCGACUACUACCCGCGAGAGAAGUCAUCUACUGAUGUUGUCAGCGGGGUCACUCGUCCAUCCAUGCAUGAAUAGCGGUAUCCCCCAUCUUUAAUUGUUGGUCAAAGCUUGAAUUUGACAACCAAAAUACGCCUUAGAGCCACACAUCUAAGUAAUACAAACAAUCCACAAACAGGUGAACAUUCUGAUUCUCAUGUCAAAAGCAAACAAACCCUGACGAGCAUGUUUCUGUUCCAUGAUAGUAGCAAUCUCCUAUCGUGAGGCAUUCUGAUUCUCCUGUCAACAGCAAACAAACCCUGACGAACAUGAGGCAUGGCAGAGUUGCAAGUUCGUCGCCUUUUUCUACCUAUAUCCCAAACAAAAUUUCCCCACAAUCCCCUCAUGUCAUAACCCUUAGAGUAGGAGCACCCACACACAAAAUGCUUCCACCUUUUCAGCCCCAGUUUGACCAAACCUCAUCCAGAGAUGAAAAGCUGUUUAUCACCAUGUGCUUUGAUCCGUGGUAGCGAGCAGAAAGCUCACUCCAACAGAUUCUAGAUAGAAUAUAUCCUUCCUUAUCCACAAUCCACCCCAGACCCACUAGCCAGGAUACCAAACUGUACCGUUCGCAGCUCACAGUAUUCACAUUCCACUCCACUAAACGCAGCAUGAGCAGCGGUGCACAAAAGAUCAUAUCAUCGUCGAUAACAUUUGAAUCCACACCACGGAUACCUGGUGCGCCGCCGCGGAGCUUGUCGGCCCACUUGGAGAACCCUAGGUCGCUGUCCCCGGCGCCGUCCUCGCCCCGAAUCUCUGCAACACCACACCAAGAUCAAAAAACCCAUUUCCCUUUCCGAACCGAACCGCACGAAUCAUCCCAUCAUUCGCGGGGCGCGCGCGCGAGAUGCUAUUACCGUGGGAGAGGAAGGGGCUGCGCGGGGAUCCCGCGAGCCCGAUGUGGAUGAGCGCGUAGUAGACGCAGAGGCGGCCGGCCCAGAGCAGCACGGGCCCCUCGAGCAGCGAGGCCGCGAUGGGGCCCACGGCGCCGGCGGAGAAGGCGCCGGCNNNNNNNNNNNNNNNNNNNNNNNNNNNNNNNNNNNNNNNNNNNNNNNNNNNNNNNNNNNNNNNNNNNNNNNNNNNNNNNNNNNNNNNNNNNNNNNNNNNNACAUAACUAGGUGACUAUAAAUGUGCUCUAUAGGUAUCUCCCAAGGUGUUUAUUGGGUUGGCGUGAAUCGAGACUUGGGCCCACUCGAUAAUACAACAUCACGAUGAGCUUGCAAGCAAUGUGACUAAGGAGUUAGUCACAGGAUCUUGUAUUAUGUAACGAGUAAAGAAACUUGCCAGUAACGAGAUUGAACUAGGUAUAGAGAUACCGACGAUCGAAUCUCGGGCAAGUAACAUACUGAUGGAAAAAGGGAACAAUAUACGAGAUUGAUUAAAUCCUUUACAUCGUUGUUCGACCAAUAAAGAUCUUUGUAGAAUAUGUAGGAGCCAAUAUGGGCAUCCAGGUCCCGCUAUUGAUUAUUCCCCGGAGAGCGUCUCAAUCAUGUCUGCAUAGUUCUCGAACCUGCAGGGUCUGCACACUUAAAGUUCGGUGACGAUUUGGUAUUAAUGAGUUAUGUGUGAUGGUAACCAAAAGUUGUUCGGAGUCCCGAAUGAGAUCCCGAACGUCACGACGAGCUCCGUAAUGGUCUGGGGGUAAAUAUUUAUAUACGGGAAGUCAUAUUUUGGCUACCGAAAAAGUUUCGGGUUUUCCGGUAUUGUACCGGGAAGCUUCUAGAAGGUUUCAGAAACUUUCGGUGGAGUCCGGAAGUCCACCAAGGGUUCUACCACGUCACAAGUGUUUGCAUGGUGUGAGGGGAGACAUCGUGGCCUUAUUGGGCCAAGCGCACAAGUCCCUCAAGGCCCAUGUAGUUGGGAAAGGUGGAAAGUCCACCUUUGUAUGGAAGGGAAUGAAGGGGACUAGGAUUCCACCUCCUCCCCCCUUGCUGCGCCCUAGGUCUUGGAGGGGGCUGUUCCGCAUGCCCCUCCACCUAUAUAUAGAGGGGAGGGGCGCCCUAAGAGGACACACGAAGCCCUUGGCGCCCCUCUCUCUCCCUAGAUCGUCUUCUCCUCCGUUCGCGGUUUCGGUAGUGCUAGGCGUAGCCCUGCCAAGAUAGCACCACCACCACCAUGCCGUCGUGUUUCCAGAUAACUCACCUUCUACUCUUCCCUCGCUCGCUGGAUCGAGGAGGCGUAGACGUCAUCGAGCUGUACGUGUGCUGAACAUGGAGGUGUCAUCCGUUCGGCGCUCGAUCGGGAGUUCGUGGGACGAAUCGUGAUUGGAUCGCGAAGACGUACCACUACAUCAACCGCGUUCUAUAAUGCUUCCGCUUAGCGAUCUACAAGGGCAUGUAGAUAUAAUAUCUUCUCUCAUAGAUGUCCAUCUCCUAGAUUGAUCUUGGUGAGCGUAGGAUUUUUUUGUUUCCCAUGCGACGUUCCCCAACAUCCACAUCAUAGUAGUUGUUAAUAACUUAACCUGUUAAUGCUAUGUUGUUGUUGUAUGGCCUUGAUACUUUUGGUUGGUGUGAGCUUUCUUGUACAUUCGAAGUAAUCAUCUCGCGUGUCAUGCCAGAUUGCAGGUGAUGUCGUGAUUGAUUUCCCUUCAAGGAUCCCGAGUCUGCGAGCUAAGCCGUGUCCCAGCCAGAGUCCCCGUGGAGUGGAGUCUGUCACUGUCGUCGUUGUUUUGCUGCUAGAAACUAUUCCACUACUACAAGUUGUCCCACUGCUAGCAUAGAGAUACCUUAGAGGGCGUAGUGUCUCCGUGCCGAUGUAAGCCUUUGUAGCAUCAAACCCUUGUACCCGUAUUAUCAACAAUAAAGAGCUGAUUUGUUCUAGGCCAAGCAGUGUCGUAUUCCAAAAGACUUGAUCUCUGGGCUGGAAUACGGGGUGUUCCAGUUCCUCUGAGUCGGGGUGCCCAUCCUCCUUCUACGUGACUACUCUGCCCUAAUUCAUAAACAUCAUAUCCAGCAUGGGAUGCAUAAUUUGGCAGUGAAUCACACAUCCCUUCACCGCUCUGGCCAUAAUCGUAACCACCCCGGCGCCAGGUUCACUAACCUGUUUCACGACGGGAAGCACUAAGGCGACAUGAUUAUGUCCCCUGCUCUCACAAGUUUGUAAGCAACGCACCCAUUGAGAGUCCCGCUCUAUUGGCUUCAAAUACAAGUACAUAUUUGAACUUGAUCGGGUCCAUAAUGCAUGAACACCGGCGGUGUGUGUUUCAGUAUUAAACCCUAAACAUCCCGCCAAUAAUUCUGUCAACUGACUAUCAAUCCAUGUUUGAGGGGCAGUCAUUGGCACCUCAAUGUACUGAAAUUCCCUCAGAUCAGCUCUCAUCUCAUUUGUUCGGACAAUACGAGGGUCGUAGCAAAAACUUAUCUUCACUACAUCACACAUUUCUUCUGACCCAAAAAAUAUUCAACAUGGACAAACUUUAAGUAGCAGGACAAACUAAAAAUAUUAUCGAACCAACUAAAAAUUCAUACACCUAAAUAUAUUACCAAAAGCUACUGGAGCAACUAAAAAUAUUCACACACCUAAAUAUUUGACAUCUAAAUAUGAUAUCGAAGCAACUACAAAUAUGCACACAACCAAAUACUACGGGAACAGACGUUGAAUCUUACCCUUGAAGCGUGCGAAGAAACGACGAACGACAACCUUCAAACACGAGAACGAACGACAAACAUGUGGAACGAACGACGAACACACGAGCAUCCACCACCUCCAACACCACCACAACCACCACCACCUCCACCUCCAACACCACCACCACCACCACCUCAACCACCUCCACAAUGCUCACCACCACCACUAUGAGCUACCCCAUCACGAGAUCGAGGUUUCCCUAGCCUCCCCUAACCCUCUAAAAUCAAACUACAUCGGAAAAUGAGGAAAAUCGGAUCAAACUUCGUGUAAAAAUUGAGGGCAUUUUAGGGUGGAGACCCACGGAAAGAAGGAAAGAAGAGAAAUGGAGGAGGAAGAAGGGGGCGUAGCACGGGCCGAGGCAAUGUUGCCUCCUAUCGGCUACGUUAAGGCCGGCUCGCCUAGUCGGCUAUGCCAAAGCCGAGUGGAGGUCACGCAGGCCGAGUGACGUGGUCCGACCAAUAGUGGGCUUUCACAUGGUCCAUUGGCCACUUAUCGGCUUUCGUGUGGCUCACCAUUCCCAGUCGGCUUUGCCAGGGCCAAUUGGAUCCAGUCAGUUUUAGCUACACCAAUGCUGUAUUUAUUUUUUAAAAUUAGGUUAGCAAUGUGAUAUUUGAAUAAUUAAAUAAAAAAGUGUAUAAUUUAAAAAAAUAACAUGUUGAGCAAGAUAGAAUCCUCCAAACUAAUGAAUAGCCAUGCAGAGAGCACCAACGUACGAUCAUGCAUUAAGUGAAUAGCCAAGCUAAAAGUGCCAUGCACAAUCCAAGUGUUACAUUUAUCCAAUGGCGGAUCUAGGGAUGGACAGGGUGGUCCAUGAACCACCCUGAGAUUUCCACAUAGGCUACAUAUAUCAUAGAAAAAUAACUGAAAAUAAUAUAUUGCUAUGAAGAAUUGCAUUGUUGGACCAUCCUACCAUGUUGAGCUAGAUUCGCCACCGCACUUACCAAAUUAACAAAUAGGAGGAAGCAAUUGAGCAGCUUGAUUUUCUUUCGCGUCUGAGAUCACCAAGAGUUGCGCAUGGAGGCACGACCUAAAGCUCCACAAAACGGCGGUGUCGGCAAUGGAUAAUGCGGCGAAGCUGCUCGUUAACUGAAACAACUUGGCCUUCAUUCAUGUUGUCAUUGAGGUAGUUGUCGCCGUGGAAAGAGACAAGACUGGCAGCUUGCUCCGCCCCAUCGACCAUGGCAGUUCACAGCGCACCGUACCGCCGUUCCUUGAUCUCUCCAUAGCCGUCCAAUUAAGACGAACUCCAUGUACAAUAGGACGCGGCUUGGGAGCAAGCGAAGACAACGAUGAGCUUGUUCUUUUAGCAUGCUCGGUUUUAAAAAAAGGGGCCGAAGGCUCUUUUUUUAAAACAAAGAAAAUACCAUAGUAUUGAAAAAGUAUAAUAUUAAUACCAUGGUUUUUAGUGGUUAUCAAACAACUCAAAGUAAUUAAAACCAUGAUAAUCCUAAAAAUUGUGGCGGCCACGACGUUAUCCUUGUGGUGAACUUGUGUCCUCGGGCUCCGCCGUUGCGAUGACGUCUGCUCCAACGUCAGCGCGGAGCUUGAGAGGUAGUCCAGGAACGGAUGCAGAUUAUGGUCUGCACCGACGACAUCUGGAAGACGAAAUAUGUGUUGGGUUCGUGGUUGAUGGAUGACAGGCAUGGUUUCCUCUUUCGACGUCUUAGUCGUGGAAAAGUGUCAGAUCUGAAGUUCGAUGGCGUGUUCAGUGUGUUGCCCCAGUCUGAUUCGUUCAACGGCAAUGGUUUCAUCUUUGAUAAGUCACUUUGAAGGUCCUCAAAGUUGUAUAUCAACGAUGGAGCCUCAUCGAGUUCGGGUAAAAAAGUGAUCCGUCCUUAUUUUCUUUGGUGGUUGUUGUGGUGGUGUCACGGACAAGCGACAAACGUUGGUGUCAAGCUCAACGAUGUUUUGAUAUCUUCUUAGUUUCAUCAUGUCGGUUUUUACAUGAUUUGUAAUUUGAUCUUUAUGAUAUACUCCCUUCGUUCCUAAAUAUAAGUCUUUGUAGAGAUUUCACUAGUGGAGUACAUACAGAUGUAUAUAGACAUACUUUAGAAUGUACAUUCAAUCAUUUUGCUCCGUAUGUAGACAUCUAAUAAAAUCGCUUAAAAGACUUAUAUUUAGGAACGGAGGGAGUAAAUAAGACACGAGUUACCAUGCAAAAAAAUAAUUAAAACUGUAAUAAUCCUAGAAAGUGUAGUAUUUUCAGAAUACUUAAAAGAUACAGAGCUACCAAACAGGGCCUAAACAUAAAAAUAAUUUGCCACCCUCACGAUAACAUAAUUUGUCCUUAAAUACAUUUGUUUAUUUUUGCGAUGGAGAAACACUUGAUUUUCCAUGACUAAAGAAAUCUUAUGUCAGAUUCUUUAGCAUUUCCAAAUGAAAAAAGGGCAAAUUGUGGUUGGCUGGGCCUCUAUGGGCCAGACCGCCCUGGUUUCUGCCGGAAGGUUCGUGACGAACAAUCCAAAAACCCGUAUUUCUCCACGGCAAGGAAGCAGCCAGUAGAGCAUCGCCGUUUGUCACCCGAAAGCUGUAUUGAUACAGUGUACCUAUCCCAAAGUCCUUCCGGUCGCACUCCGUCCCCUUCAGCAUUUCGCCAUUAUCUGAAGCCACCACAUGCUGACAUGCAUAGCCCUGACUCGCCGCGUAGCGCUAGAUAUUUUAGUAGUAAUCGUUCCUGAAAAACAGUUUCCUUCCUUCCAAUGUCCGAGGAGUUAAAACUGAAUAUACAUACACGCAAGUCCAGCAAUCUGAAGACCAAGAACGAGAAAUGAUUUAAACAUACCAAGUUACCAAAUCCAGUGAUAAUAAACCUCGAUUGAAAGUGAUUUCGGAUAGUUUGAGAUGUUACCUGACAUGGGUUCACUCCAUGGACAAGAAAAGCAAGAAACCGUGCACCACGCACGAUGAAUCUUCCUAGGCCCGCCUCGUAAAAAUCCAGCGACACAUGUCACACACACACUUGUGAUACACAGCUCUUAUCCAAACCGGAACACGACAACUCUAUCCGCAUGGCUGGUUAGAUGUUGCAUUUGGACGAUAGUUCAAAAAUUAGCGUGUAAUAUAUCGAGCAUUUUUUUCUUCUGAUUUUUAGUAAUAAAAGAGCUAAUGUUUCUAUGGACCAAUCUAAUUUUUUUUCUCGCUUCUCCUUUUUCCUUCUGUAGUCUGUGCCACGCAGCAGCACUGACGAAGGUCGUAAACCUGGAGGAGUGAAGCACAGAACGGAGUGAACCGACGCGCGCGCACCACCGUUUACAGUUAGCCAACGAAUCUCUGCCAAUCGCCAUGCUCGCCUACCUCCUCCACGCGCCCGCCGCCGCCGCCGCGGCGCCCAGCCCGCUCGCCCUCCGCGGGCCGCUNNNNNNNN
rnacentral:lncRNA from 1 species